rnacentral:rRNA from 1 species
AUUGAACGCUAGCGGGAUGCCUUACACAUGCAAGUCGAACGGAGUGGCGAACGGGUGAGUAAUGUAUCGGAACGUGCCCAGUAGCGGGGGAUAACUACGCGAAAGCGUAGCUAAUACCGCAUACUAUUGGAGCGGCAGAUAUCGGAUUAGCUAGUUGGUGGGGUAACGGCUCGCCAAGGCGACGAUCCGUAGCUGGUUUGGAAGGACGACCAGCCACACUGGAACUGAGACACGGUCCAUACUCCUACGGGAGGCAGCAGUGGUGAAUUUUGGACAGUGGGGGAAACCCUGAUCCAUCCAUCCCGCGUGUGCGAUGAAGUCCUUCGGGUUGUAAAGCACUUUUGGCAGGAAAGCGGUACCUGCAGAAUAAGCACCGGCUAACUACGUGCCAGCAGCCGCGGUAAUAC